CCAGUCAAAUAUUGUCGAGAGGGCAGUUUAGCGGUCAGGCGUCUGGGCCUAAAAGUCGAGUCUGGGCUGGCGAAGGUAGCCCUCUUCAGUGACCUUGCUGAAAAGACUUACAGAGAGGGCAAAGUUAUUGAGUUGUCUGGUGUGUACAAGAAGGAGCAUGAGUCGAAAAAACAGCUGGCCGUGACUCAUGGAACAAAACAUCAGUUCUUACCUGAUGACACUGUGAAAGUCGGCAUAACUGAAGGGGACUCUAAGCACUUUAAAAGUGAUAAAGAUUUUUGUCUGGAGGACAAUGAUAUUCUGUCAAAUUUUGAGCUGGAUGCCAUAUAUGAAGUGACUGGGUACGACUGUUGUACCAAUCAAGGCUGCCAUGAGAAAAAGUUUGUGGCUGGCGUAUGACCUCUCUGCCAGGGAGAUCAGAAAGGGUGGACAUACCGUGCAAAAGUUUCGAUUAUCGGUGAUAAAAGUCAAAGGGAGAUCACCCUGUUCCAACGUGACUUGGAAAAGCUAUUCGGUACUUUUAAGGACAUAGCUGAUGAAGAUCAACUGAUUCUUCAAAUGAUUGACUUGUUGCCAGUUCGGUUCAUAGGAAAACUGACCGGCAACAGUUUGUAUAAUAUUCAGAAAACCUUAUAAUUUAGGUUGUCUAUUUUAACUCACCUGACUGCCAUCAUGUCUAUAAAGGGAUAUGAAAGUUAUCAUCCAGUCGAGUAUUGAUAUUAUUACGGGGUUUUUUAGCUGCUGAUGUAUAUUGGUUUUCAUGAUGAAAUCCUGUUGUGCAAUAACCUCAGACAUUUGGGACAUAUCUAUAACUACACAGUUUGUUAAAAUUUGAAGAGUUUUGAAUAUUUAAAGACCUGCUCCAGUCCUACCUUUUAAUCUUAAAUUGCCACUGAGAAAGAAUGAAAAGCCUGUCUAAACCGUGACACCUGUCAAAAUAGAGUCUAUUUUAAAUGAUAUUCUAUAUAAAAUACUAUUGGUUUUGCAUGCUAGUAUCGCAUGUUGCCGUUAACUGUAACCUAUUGUAAUCAUGGUUUCCAUACACGCAGUAGAAUUUGAAUAGGUGCCGAGCAGAUCUUUAAUUAUUUUUGACGUUUUUGUAAGUGUAAAUUAUUUUCAGAAAUUUACUUAAAUAACAUGUUUGAUUAUGCAUGUCAAUUAUUGUGAUAUAUGUAACUCAAGAGCUGACUUUGAUAUUUGUAAUCCCAUUUAGCCUUUUUCACAUGUCCAGGCAUAAAGUUUGGCUGGAUUUAUUGACAUGAAAUCUGUGUUGUUAUUUUUUUUUCAGCAGCAGAUAAAAGAUAAUGACUUCAUAUUUUUAAAAUGAUGUCACAAUUUGUUAAAGCUUCACCUAGCAAAACAGGUACUAAAUUAUGACUGAAUUAUAAUAUAGUGUUUCAAUCUUUUGAAUAAAUCUCUUUAGUAACAAAAAAUUACUGUAUUUUUAGAAUGCCUCAAGUUUUGAGAGACACUCUGUACUUUUGAGAAAUUCAUCAUUUAUAUAUCUGUAGUCUGGAGGCAACAGGCUAAUUGUUCAUUGAACAUUUUUCGCAUAAAAAAGAGGCAGCAGAUAUUUGAAAUAAGACAUAUACAUUCAGCUUGUUAAAUUAUUUUUGUACACACUUUUGUUAAUAGUUUCUUGAUAGAUUUAUUGGUUUAUUUUUUCCUUUCAGGUCACUUAACACUUAGCAGCUAUUAAUAUAAGCAUACAAGCAUAAUUAAUUCAUGCUUAACUACUUGUUGACAACUUUAAUGUGCAAAAAAUAUUGAGUAUUGUAUACUUUCUUUUCAACUUCUAUUAAAGCCCCAUUUUUACUUGCAACAGGUUAGCCACAGAUUAGAUUAUUUUACAUGCAUAAGUAGUAUUUAUAACUUUGUUUUCAAUUUAAAAACAAAAUAGCAUGUUCUGAUCACUUUUGUUUGUUGACAUCAUGAUAUUUAGUUUCUAGUCAUAAGUUGGUAGUAUUUUUAUAGUGUACACAUUUAUGUUUUUAUAUCUGACAAGGCUUACUUGUUCGUUUUUUACCUAGACAUAUCUCAAUCUCCCUCUUGUUUGGCUUUAGCACUCAAAGUCUUAAGCAUGUUUAGCCUUGUUUAGUAUAAUAUAGUUGAAGUACAAUCACUUUGUUAUCGCGACAAUUGUUCUAAAUGUUUGUUCUUACAAUUUAUUGCUCAUUUAUUUAACUUGAAUAAAAAACGUACUUAUUUCACAAUAUUUCAUUGAAAAAGUGGCUGGCAGUUACAAAUAAAUGAUUUAAAGGUUAUUACGUUAGCCCAUAUACACAUCAUUUUACUGUUUCCAUUGCCAAAGAAACUGAAAUUUGUGUCCAAGAAAAGAAUGAUAUAACAUGCAUAAUUUCUAUAUAUCCCAUAAACAAAAGCAAAUGUCAUGAAUGUUCUUUAUUUACUUUUGGAAUAUCACAGUUGAAUAAUUUGUAUACUUUUAUUUUAUGAUGUUUGCACUGAGCCGUUUUUAUGUCAAACAUUUCUAAAUGGUAAAUCUCUGUUUGACCUAAUGCUCAAAAGCAUUCGUGUUAGUCAUAAACCGUCAUACUAGAUUGCCAUACAAUGUGUGUACAUAUCUCAGUUGUUUCACUUGUUCUUUUAUGUUAUAGUAUUGUUAUUUAAAAUUUCCUACACAUUGACUCUUGCCAUAUUACUUUAGCCAGUCAAGUGCAUUUUGCCACUACUUUAAAGGUCAAGGUCACUUUAAUGACAUUAAAUCUUGUUCUUUCUUUUUCCCCCAGAAGGUUGCUGAAGUUAUUAAUUUUCAAAUUAGAGGUGAACUUCACACUAAUAACACUUUGAAUCUGAAUAUAUACAGUUGACAGAAUAUUUAAGUGCAUUCUAUUUCUGACCUUAGUAUGACCUACUUACCUGCCACAAUGGCUUUUAUACCACAGUUUUUAGCUCAUCUGAGCAGAAAGUGCUGAAGGUGAGCGUUUGUGAUCGCCCUGUUUCUGCCGUCAUACGUCCGUCUUCAGUCCGUUGCAACAAUUUGACUGUUAACAUUCUAGAGGUCACAAUUUUGGCCUGAUCUUAUUGAAACUUAGUCAGAAUGUUAUCUUCAAUGAAGUCUUCGACGAGUUCGACAUUGGGUUAUCUGGGAUCAAAGCUAUAUCACCGGGUCAGAUCAAAGGAAAAGCUAGUUAACACUCUAGAAACCACAUUUAUGACCAUAUCUUAAUGAAACUUGGUCAGAAUGUUAAUCUUGAUGAUCUUUAGGUCAAGUUUUAAUCUGGGUCAUGUGGGGAGAAAAACUAUGUCAUCGGGUCAAAUCAAAGCAAAAGCUACUUAACACUCUAGAGGCCACAUUCAUGGCCAUAUCUUAAUGAAACUUGGUUAGUAUAUUAAUCUUGAUGAUCUUUAAGUCAAGUUUAAAUCUGGGUCAGAUAGGGUAAAAACUAGGUCACCAGGUCAAAUCAAAUAUAAAGUUUGUUAACACUCUUGAGGCCACACUUAUGACCAUAUCUUAAUGAAACUUGGUCAGAAUGUUAAUCUUGAUGAUCUUUAGGUCAAUAGGUCAGGUGAGCGAUACAGAGCCUUCAAGGUCCUCUUGUUAUAAUUUUUAACCUUUUGUCUUAUUUACUUUGUUAAUAGGUACAGUCAUGCAAUUUAAGCAUGUGACAGCAAAUUAUAAGCUAGAGUUAUCAGUGACUUUCAAAUACAUUUCCUUCUUGCGUUUCUAUUUGCUCAA